CAAGCAUCGGCUGAGUUUGCAGAACAUGCAAGCCUAGCUGCCAAAGCUGUUGUAGAACUUUCAAGGCAAUAUUGUGUUGAUGAUGGUGGUUCAUGCCACUUAGGUUUCAAGGAUUCAAGGUUAGAAUAUGGGCAAUCAUUUCCUAGAGAUAGUAAUUUUUCUAUUGGCAGGCAGAAUUGGAACAUGAAAUUUAAAGAUGCUACCUCUGCUGCUCAAGAAGCGGCUGAGUUUGCAGAACAUACAAGCCUAGCUGCCACAGCUAUUGUAGAACUUUCAAGGCAAUAUUGUGUUGAUGAUGGUGGUUCAUACCACUUAGGUUUCUUGGAUGAAAGGUUGGACCAUGGGCAAUCAUUUCCUGGAGAUGGUAAUGGUAAUUUUUCUGUUGGAAGGCAGAAUUGGAACAUGAAAUUUAAGGAUGCUACCUCUGCUGCUCAAGCAGCGGCUGACUUUGCAGAACAUGCAAGCCUAGCUGCCACAACUGUUGUAGAACUUUCAAGGCAAUAUUGUGUUGAUGAUGGUGGUUCAAGCCUCUUAGGUUUCAAGGAUGACAGGUUGGAACAUGGGCAAU
rnacentral:lncRNA from 1 species